GGCUCAGGAUGAACGCUAGCGGCAGGCUUAACACAUGCAAGUCGAGGGGUAUAGUUCUUCGGAACUAGAGACCGGCGCACGGGUGCGUAACGCGUAUGCAAUCUACCUUUUACAGAGGGAUAGCCCAGAGAAAUUUGGAUUAAUACCUCAUGGUAUAUAUUAUUCGCAUGUUUGAUAUAUUAAAGUUCCAACGGUAAAAGAUGGGCAUGCGUCCUAUUAGCUAGAUGGUAAGGUAACGGCUUACCAUGGCAACGAUAGGUAGGGGUCCUGAGAGGGAGAUCCCCCACACUGGUACUGAGACACGGACCAGACUCCUACGGGAGGCAGCAGUGAGGAAUAUUGGACAAUGGGCGCAAGCCUGAUCCAGCCAUGCCGCGUGCAGGAAGAAGCAUCUAUGGUGUGUAAACUGCUUUUGUACGGGAAGAAACACUCCUUCGUGAAGGAGCUUGACGGUACCGUAAGAAUAAGGAUCGGCUAACUCCGUG
rnacentral:rRNA from 1 species